CUUCGAGGGUGUUACACAGCUGCUGCAUGGUUGUCGUCAGUUCGUGUCGUGAGCUAUCGCGACCUCUCGCAGUAAUGCGGGAUGAGAAAUUCGACUCAUAUCGGUGAAGCCCUGUUGACUUUCGGUUUAACUUCGGGUUAAAUGAAAUCAAAUGGGUAAUACCGAGGGAAGUCAGACUGACAUUCGGCAAAUUCUAAUACGAAAGAAUAUUCACAUAUUCCUUUCGCAUGAUGAUUUAUGCCAGAAUGUAUGAAAUAUAAAGGUCUUGACCCCGUAACGACUAGAUUCCUGUUUAGACAGGAUGAAGAUGGGUAGAGUAAUCUAUUUCCAUAACACGUCGACCCCUAACGCGAAAGCGAAGGGUGAAGGUAUAGUCUACGUUUGAAGUAAUGUUCAAA
rnacentral:autocatalytically_spliced_intron from 1 species